GGAAUGAGUAAGUAUAAACUUCUUACAGUAUCAAUUGGAGGGCAAGUCUGGUGCCAGCAGCCGCGGUAAUCCAGCUACCAAUAGCGUAUAUUAAAGUUUGUUCGCAGUUAAAAAGCUCGUAGUUCGGAUUUCUGUUAAUAAUUUAUAUAAAAUAUUUUGAUGAAUAUUUAUAUAAUAUUAACAUAAUUCAUAUUACUAUAUAUUUUAGUAUAUGAAAUUUUACUUUGAGAAAAUUAUAGUGCUUAAAGCAGGCAUAUGCCUUGAAUACUCCAGCAUGGAAUAAUAUUAAAGAUUUUUAUCUUUCUUAUUGGUUCUAAGAUAAGAAUAAUGAUUAAUAGGGACAGUUGGGGGCAUUUGUAUUUAACAGUCAGAGGUGAAAUUCUUAGAUUUGUUAAAGACAAACUAAUGCGAAAGCAUUUGCCAAGGAUGUUUUCAUUAAUCAAGAACGAAAGUUAGGGGAUCGAAGACGAUCAGAUACCGUCGUAGUCUUAACCAUAAACUAUGCCAACUAGAGAUUGGAGGUUGUUCCUUAACUCA
rnacentral:rRNA from 1 species